rnacentral:lncRNA from 1 species
CAGUUGCUGCUGAGAGCAGAACUAGCCACACUGGAAUUAACUGCCAGGUGUAAGAUGUUGCAGCACCAGGCAUGGUUCUUUGUGGAUCUCUCUAAUCCUGGCUCUAGUCCUGUCCCAGCUUCCGGACCACUGUCAUCACUAACAAGGGCUUGGGGCCCAGGUCACCAGGGGCUUUCCUCCAUGAAAGGCAGACAAUCAUCAUUUCAGUGCUGUACCUUCUGGAUUUCUGCUCAUGGUUUCUUUGAGUUCCAUGCCCAAGAUUCAUGCAAGAGAACAAAGUGGAAAGCAGCUCUGAUCCCCAAAGCUGUAACAAAAUACUCAUGGUCCUGUCCAGUUUUUUUUUUUUCCCUGCAUAUUGAUGUUAAACUUUAAGCUCUUGAACUUACCUAUGAAAGUCUUUGGCUUUCUAUUCCUCUGGCUCCCAUAGGCAUCAAACAGCCUGCUUCCCAGCUCUGGUCUGCAUGGGUUCCUCUCAUUAUUCUGAUUGUCCAUCAUCCUCACCUGUCUCUGCUUGUCUGCUGAUUGGCACAUAGUCAUUGAGGCUCAGUCAGUUCAUUAGUAGCUCAGCAGCCGUCAAGUCUGGGAAAACACUCUGCUGGAAUCGGAGGUGACAAAGAUACAUAAAACAGGACCCAUGACCCAGGGUCCAUUGUUGAAUGGGGCUGAGAACCUGUGAAAUAUUUCUCACCGUGGAGGGGGGCAUCUGUCAGGGAUCCCUAAGAAAAAUCCUUCAACUCAUUGGAAAUGGCCUCCUUGUGCUAUUGAAGAACUUUCCUUAGACUUGACUAUAAUUCUUUUUUGUAAACAGAUAAAACAUGACUAUGUUGACAUUUAACCAACCAUCAGAGGUGACUCUGGGACACAGGACAGUCACUUAAUGUCACUUGGAAGUUCUACCUGCACAUUUAACUCUUGUAAUGGUCUUUGUCAGCUUUUUAUAUCUGCUUUGUCCAUAGAACCACAGCCGGGGACAACUUAGAUACUUCUGUAAGGAAAGAAAACCAGGAAACCUUCCAUAAUGUCCUUAUGUAAAACGUUAAAGUGGGAAAUUACUCGUGUCCCUAGGAUGCCCACGAUUCUUGGGAUAAAGAGCCGGUUUUCUCUACCAGAUGGGCCCUGACGUGUGUCUCCUUGGUGAUUUUCAACCCAGCCAUGUGAACAACGAAGUUUAACCACCAUACAGAGGAACACAGAGAAGAGUCACUACUUAUGCAAGAGGACGAACCAGAAAACUUGAUGGCUUCAAAAGAAAAUGAAGAAGACGUUUAUCCCCUUGGAAGGUGGAGUGGGCUGUGUGCGUAUCCACCCAUCGGCUGUUAUUCUGACCUGGUGAAAGUGAGCGGCCAUUACCAACCAGAAGACAGAAAGCAGAUCUGGUGAAGUCUAGCAGGACAAGCCAUUGUUGACUGGGAGAAGAGACACACAAACUGCCACAACAGGCUUGUGAAGAAAAUCUGUUAUAUUAAAGUCCAGCCAUAAAACAGACAAUAAAUGAAACUGCAACCACAUCACGGAGGAGCUAGUAGCUGUGGAUGCUGACAGGCUCACACAUUGACUGUGCCACAUGUACAGGGUGCAGGAGUUCUGGGUACCUACCACCUUGCUUCAGGAAAACCCUGUUUUCAACAGCUCAAAGACAAAAAUGGACUUAAGUAACUAUAGCAAACAAUCCAUUGCAACAGAUUUUCCCAAGUUUUAUUUGGAUGAAACAGAAUAUAAUUCUCACUUGAUUCAAUUUUUACUUUAAAACUUUUAAGGAUCUAAUUCCAACUUACAUGUUAAACACCGGAAGCACAUUAAGACAGGCCAGCAAUAAUUUUUAAAUGUCAAUUCAGCUUAGUAGAAAAAAGCAAUUGAUGUGCUUCGGGGAUGAGUCGAACUUGUUUUUACUUGCUGCAUUAGAGCUUGCAAUUCUGUUUAAUUGGCAUGUAAUUUAAUUGCCACGUAAGUUAUUUAAUUAUGCACUAUAAAUGGGAAGUGUUGUUUGCAGGCAUCAUAUCUCUUUGUUGAAAUUUGGAAUGCCAGCUCUUUCUCUGGUCUCCUGUUUAUCUCUGAUCCAUUUCUCUAGGUCAUCUGUGUUCUGUUAUGUGACAUAUUAACUGAUUUUGUCAUUGUUUCUAGCAGACGUGUGUGUAUACAUUUGUAUUUUCCAUUUUAGCCACUAAUUAUGCAAGCCCAGACAUUAAUCUUAUCCAGUAAUAAGAAUAGAGGCACCAAGGCCUGUGUCAUUUCUUCGUUGAGUUAUAAUUGUGUCAUUUCUUUGUUGAGUUUUAAUUGUGUCAUUUCUUCGUUGAGUUAUAAUAUCUCCUGUUUCAGGUCAGCAGACUGUACAUUCUUUCCAAAUUCUAGUUUGUUCCUAUGGAAGAUUUAACAUAAAUGUGACCACCACUGAUGGUUAUAUUUUUAA